rnacentral:rRNA from 1 species
AGCCGCCGCGGUAACACCGGCGGCCCGAGUGGUGAUCGUGAUUAUGGGUCUAAAGGGUCCGUAGCCGGUUUGGUCAGUCCUCCGGGAAAUCUGAUAGCUCAACGUAUUAGGCUUUCGGGGGAUACUGCCAGACUUGGAACCGGGAGAGGUAAGAGGUACUACAGGGGUAGGAGUGAAAUCUUGUAAUCCCUGUGGGACCACCUGUGGCGAAGGCGUCUUACCAGAACGGGUUCGACGGUGAGGGACGAAAGCUGGGGGCACGAACCGGAUUAGAUACCCGGGUAGUCCCAGCCGUAAACGAUGCUCGCUAGGUGUCAGGCAUGGCGCGACCGUGUCUGGUGCCGCAGGGAAGCCGUGAAGCGAGCCACCUGGGAAGUACGGCCGCAAGGCUGAAACUUAAAGGAAUUGCGGGGGAGCACAACAACGGGUGGAGCCUGCGGUUUAAUUGGACUCAACGCCGGACAACUCACCGGGAGCGACAGCAAUAUGUAGGCCAAGCUGAAGACUUUGCCUGAAUCGCUGAGAAGAGGUGCAUGG